GGAAGCCACGGCUAACUCUGUGCCAGCAGCCGCGGUAAUACAGAGGUGGCAAGCGUUGUUCGGAAUUAUUGGGCGUAAAGAGCACGUAGGUGGGUUUGUAAGUCAGAUGUGAAAGCCUUCUGUUCAACGGAAGAAUUGCAUCUGAAACUGCGAGUCUUGAGUGUAGGAGGGGAGAAUGGAACUUCUGGUGGAGCGGUGAAAUGCGUAGAUAUCAGAAGGAACGCCGGCGGCGAAAGCGAUUCUCUGGCCUAUUACUGACACUCAGUGUGCGAAAGCUAGGGGAGCAAACGGGAUUAGAUACCCCGGUAGUCCUAGCCGUAAACGAUGGGCACUAAGUAGAGGGAAUUACCGAUGUUCUCUCUGCCGUAGCUAACGCAUUAAGUGCCCCGCCUGGGGAGUACGGCCGCAAGGCUAAAACUCAAAAGAAUUGACGGGGGCUCGCACAAGCGGUGGAGCAUGUGGCUUAAUUCGAUGCAACGCGAAGAACCUUACCGGGGCUUGACAUGGUAGAAGUAGGAACCCGAAAGGGUAACGAACGGUAUCCAGUCCGUAACUAUCACAGGUGUUGCAUGGCUGUCGUCAGCUCGUGUCGUGAGACGUUGGGUUAAGUCCCCUAACGAGCGAAACCCUUGUUUUUAGUUACCAGCGGGUUAUGCCGGGUACUCUAGAAAGACUGCCGUCGUCAAGACGGAGGAAGGUGGGGAUGACGUCAAGUCAUCAUGGCCCUUAUGCCCCGGGCUGCACACGUGCUACAAUGGUCGGUACAAA
rnacentral:rRNA from 1 species